AGAAUACAUUCUCCUUCCACAAACGUUAUCAGAAAAUCCUGUAUGGAAAAUACUGAGGACAAUUUCAUCAGUCUCCAGCCCUUGUGAUCAUGUCCCAGAAUGACUAGUCAGGUGAAGCCCUAGCUGAAGAUUGCUUGUCACCUAUAGGAAGUAGCUGUCUGCUGGGUGAGCAUCUCAAAAAGUAGUAACUGGCUUCCAAGUUCACCUCCAAAGGUUACUUCAAAAACCCUGUCAGACCCCUCCUCCUUGAGUGAUUCACUGCUGCAAAUGGACUGUGGUUAAAAACAAUGAUUUCUUAAAAGUCCCACACCAGCAGUUGUGAUGAUUUAAGGCAGCCAGAGGAAGGCAGGUAUAAACCCUUUGUGCGUUGUUUUGAAAGAGUAUGUGAUGUUAUGAUAGAGCUAUUUGAGAGGAUAUGAUAAUACAGCUGUGUCUCUGGGGAUGAAUUUUUAUCUGUUUUGGUUAAAUUCAUUGAAGUCAGGGAGAAUGUGUCUAUUUCUGGUACAAGUGAUACAUUUUCAUCACAUCCAGAUAUGUAAUUUGGCACGAAAUAGCUAAUACUCUUCGAUUUCUGAUAUUCAUUUGGGUUUAACCUGACAUUUUCUUAUUUUAUAAUAAAUAGAAUUCCUGGUGCAGAACAAGGGUAACUAGUAAUAAUUCUGUAAAAGCAUUAUAAAAUUGCCAAAAGGAAAAGUGGUGCUGUUAUUAGGCCAAUACCACUGUAAAUGAUAAAUUAAAAAGGCAACAUGAAGAGGCUGAAAAGUAGUGACAGCUACAAUGAGUACAUUUUCUCCAUUCUCAGUGUGAGAUCACAGUGCAAGAAUACGUGAACUUAGAAUCCCUUUGUGAAAUCUGUGCUCAUUUUAGCUGUCACUGCUGCAGGUGAUGAGCACUCACAACCUGUUGUUUCUGCUUUGUGCUUAUGAAAAUGCAAGGGAUAAGUUCUAGUAACAAAGGAGUAAAUAUCCUGAUAAAUAUAAUCAUUUAGCUGAUGGGGAAUUCUGGAUGGCGUUUGGAAUAUACCCAAGAACUGUGAA